AAGCAUUACACUUUUACCAUGGAUACAUCGCUCUGUCUACGACUCCUACUUCUACUGACAAUCAGUGAAAUUCUAAUAGUAAUUGAAUGCUCCCAAGAUGUUCAAGUAGAGGUGACCAAUUGUGGCGUUGGAUUCGAGUUGAUUCAGCACCGUUUCGAUACCCUUCAGUUCAAAUUUUUGGAGCUUUCAGUUAAUGUUAUGGAAUUUUCAGAAGCUGUUCAAAACAAACAACGUUCAAUUGAAGAACAAAUUUUCCGUUUGGAAACCAGCGUCGCUGCAAAUCUGGCGCUCGUGACUAAUUACUCCAGACAAGUUCUGGAACUACAAACAAUUUGCUCCAAUCAUGAUCAUAUCCGAAAUGAGCUGAGAAAGCUGCAACC